UACGUAGGGUGCGAGCGUUAAUCGGAAUUACUGGGCGUAAAGCGUGCGCAGGCGGAUUGUUAAGCAAGACGUGAAAUCCCCGGGCUUAACCUGGGAAUGGCGUUUUGAACUGGCAGUCUAGAGUGUGUCAGAGGGGGGUAGAAUUCCACGUGUAGCAGUGAAAUGCGUAGAUAUGUGGAGGAACACCGAUGGCGAAGGCAGCCCCCUGGGUUAACACUGACGCUCAUGAACGAAAGCGUGGGGAGCAAACAGGAUAAGAUACCCGCGUAGUCC
rnacentral:rRNA from 1 species